GGGUUGUGAGGUUAAGCGACUAAGCGUACACGGUGGAUGCCCUGGCAGUCAGAGGCGAUGAAGGACGUGCUAAUCUGCGAUAAGCGUCGGUAAGGUGAUAUGAACCGUUAUAACCGGCGAUUUCCGAAUGGGGAAACCCAGUGUGAUUCGUCACACUAUCAUUAACUGAAUCCAUAGGUUAAUGAGGCGAACCGGGGGAACUGAAACAUCUAAGUACCCCGAGGAAAAGAAAUCAACCGAGAUUCCCCCAGUAGCGGCGAGCGAACGGGGAGCAGCCCAGAGCCUGAAUCAGUGUGUGUGUUAGUGGAAGCGUCUGGAAAGGCGYGCGAUACAGGGUGACAGCCCCGUACACAAAAAUGCACAURYUGUGAGCUCGAUGAGUAGGGCGGGACACGUGGUAUCCUGUCUGAAUAUGGGGGGACCAUCCUCCAAGGCUAAAUACUCCUGACUGACCGAUAGUGAACCAGUACCGUGAGGGAAAGGCGAAAAGAACCCCGGCGAGGGGAGUGAAAAAGAACCUGAAACCGUGUACGUACAAGCAGUGGGAGCACGCUUAGGCGUGUGACUGCGUACCUUUUGUAUAAUGGGUCAGCGACUUAUAUUCUGUAGCAAGGUUAACCGAAUAGGGGAGCCGAAGGAAAACCGAGUCUUAACUGGGCGUUAAGUUGCAGGGUAUAGACCCGAAACCCGGUGAUCUAGCCAUGGGCAGGUUGAAGGUUGGGUAACACUAACUGGAGGACCGAACCGACUAAUGUUGAAAAAUUAGCGGAUGACUUGUGGCUGGGGGUGAAAGGCCAAUCAAACCGGGAGAUAGCUGGUUCUCCCCGAAAGCUAUUUAGGUAGCGCCUCGUGAAUUCAUCUCCGGGGGUAGAGCACUGUUUCGGCAAGGGGGUCAUCCCGACUUACCAACCCGAUGCAAACUGCGAAUACCGGAGAAUGUUAUCACGGGAGACACACGGCGGGUGCUAACGUCCGUCGUGAAGAGGGAAACAACCCAGACCGCCAGCUAAGGUCCCAAAGUCAUGGUUAAGUGGGAAACGAUGUGGGAAGGCCCAGACAGCCAGGAUGUUGGCUUAGAAGCAGCCAUCAUUUAAAGAAAGCGUAAUAGCUCACUGGUCGAGUCGGCCUGCGCGGAAGAUGUAACGGGGCUAAACCAUGCACCGAAGCUGCGGCAGCGACGCUGAUGCGUUGUUGGGUAGGGGAGCGUUCUGUAAGCCUGUGAAGGUGUGCUGUGAGGCAUGCUGGAGGUAUCAGAAGUGCGAAUGCUGACAUAAGUAACGAUAAAGCGGGUGAAAAGCCCGCUCGCCGGAAGACCAAGGGUUCCUGUCCAACGUUAAUCGGGGCAGGGUGAGUCGACCCCUAAGGCGAGGCCGAAAGGCGUAGUCGAUGGGAAACAGGUUAAUAUUCCUGUACUUGGUGUUACUGCGAAGGGGGGACGGAGAAGGCUAUGUUGGCCGGGCGACGGUUGUCCCGGUUUAAGCGUGUAGGCUG
rnacentral:rRNA from 1 species